rnacentral:rRNA from 1 species
AAAUUGAAGAGUUUGAUCAUGGCUCAGAUUGAACGCUGGCGGCAGGCCUAACACAUGCAAGUCGAACGGUAACGGGAAGCAGCUUGCUGCUUCGCUGACGAGUGGCGGACGGGUGAGUAAUGUCUGGGAAACUGCCUGAUGGAGGGGGAUAACUACUGGAAACGGUGGCUAAUACCGCAUAACGUCGCAAGACCAAAGAGGGGGACCUUCGGGCCUCUUGCCAUCAGAUGUGCCCAGAUGGGAUUAGCUUGUUGGUGAGGUAACGGCUCACCAAGGCGACGAUCCCUAGCUGGUCUGAGAGGAUGACCAGCCACACUGGAACUGAGACACGGUCCAGACUCCUACGGGAGGCAGCAGUGGGGAAUAUUGCACAAUGGGCGCAAGCCUGAUGCAGCCAUGCCGCGUGUAUGAAGAAGGCCUUCGGGUUGUAAAGUACUU